rnacentral:rRNA from 1 species
GGCCCCAGGCCCGAGUUGUAAUUUGCAGAGGAUGCUUUUGGCGACGCGCCUUCCGAGUUCCCUGGAACGGGACGCCAUAGAGGGUGAGAGCCCCGUCUGGUUGGAUGCCGAGCCUCUGUAAAGCUCCUUCGACGAGUCGAGUAGUUUGGGAAUGCUGCUCUAAAUGGGAGGUAUAUGUCUUCUAAAGCUAAAUACCGGCCAGAGACCGAUAGCGCACAAGUAGAGUGAUCGAAAGAUGAAAAGCACUUUGAAAAGAGGGUUAAAUAGUACGUGAAAUUGUUGAAAGGGAAGCGCUUAUGACCAGACGUGGGCUCGGCGGAUCAUCCGGCGUUCUCGCCGGUGCACUUCGCCGGGUCCAGGCCAGCAUCGGUUCGCCGCGGGGGAGAAAGGCGUCGGGAACGUGGCUCCCUCGGGAGUGUUAUAGCCCGUCGCACAAUACCCUGGGGCGGACCGAGGUUCGCGCAUCUGCAAGGAUGCUGGCGUAAUGGUCAUCAGCGACCCGUCUUGAAACACGGA